rnacentral:rRNA from 1 species
GAUGAACGCUGGCGGCGUGCUUAACACAUGCAAGUCGAACGAAGCACUUUAUUUGAUUUCCUUCGGGACUGAUUAUUUUGUGACUGAGUGGCGGACGGGUGAGUAACGCGUGGGUAACCUGCCUUGUACAGGGGGAUAACAGUUGGAAACGGCUGCUAAUACCGCAUAAGCGCACAGCAUCGCAUGAUGCAGUGUGAAAAACUCCGGUGGUAUAAGAUGGACCCGCGUUGGAUUAGCUAGUGGGUGAGGUAACGGCCCACCAAGGCGACGAUCCAUAGCCGACCUGAGACGGUGACCGGCCACAUUGGGACUGAGACACGGCCCAAACUCCUACGGGAGGCAGCAGUGGGGAAUAUUGCACAAUGGGCGAAAGCCUGAUGCAGCGACGCCGCGUGAGCGAAGAAGUAUUUCGGUAUGUAAAGCUCUAUCAGCAGGGAAGAUAAUGACGGUACCUGACUAAGAAGCACCGGCUAAAUACGUG